AGACCCGAAACCCGGUGAUCUAGCCAUGGGCAGGUUGAAGGUUGGGUAACACUAACUGGAGGACCGAACCGACUAAUGUUGAAAAAUUAGCGGAUGACCUGUGGCUGGGGGUGAAAGGCCAAUCAAACCGGGAGAUAGCUGGUUCUCCCCGAAAGCUAUUUAGGUAGCGCCUCGUGAAUUCAUCUCCGGGGGUAGAGCACUGUUUCGGCUAGGGGGCCAUCCCGGCUUACCAACCCGAUGCAAACUGCGAAUACCGGAGAAUGUUAUCACGGGAGACACACGGCGGGUGCUAACGUCCGUCGUGAAGAGGGAAACAACCCAGACCGCCAGCUAAGGUCCCAAAGUCAUGGUUAAGUGGGAAACGAUGUGGGAAGGCCCAGACAGCCAGGAUGUUGGCUUAGAAGCAGCCAUCAUUUAAAGAAAGCGUAAUAGCUCACUGGUCGAGUCGGCCUGCGCGGAAGAUGUAACGGGGCUAAACCAUGCACCGAAGCUGCGGCAGCGAACGUAUCACCCAAGACAACUUUACGGAGU
rnacentral:rRNA from 1 species